rnacentral:lncRNA from 1 species
UAUAAAUAUAUUAGUUAUGUGUAUAUAUAUUAGAUCAUGAUAAAAUUUGUAAAUAGUGUUUACGUACCGAAAGAUGUCUAUCAUCUCUGCGCUGUUAGGUCAUAAAGCGGAUGUUGUGGCAACGUAGUAUGCACAUAAAUUAUUUCCGUGUUCCUACCUCAUGCACUUUACGAGAAUAGAAUUUAACCAAAUAAUAAUCAAGCAUGAUAAUGGUAUUGAAACUAGAAUCAAAGGGAUGCGCAUACGUAGCUAGUACUACUUAAUUACGAGCUUGGACCGUCGCCAUUUCAGCUAUGGCUUCCAUGCACCGACUUUCUCUUUGAGGAACUUUUUUCAAACCCUGCCCGUCAAAGAAAAUGAAUAAAGGAGUUAUUAAUUACUAGAUAUCAGGAAAUGAACAAAAGAGACCGAUAUAGUGC